CGCUGGCGGCAAGCUUAACACAUGCAAGUCGAACGGACCAUACACGCAGCUUGCUGCGUGUAUGGUUAGUGGCAGACGGGUGAGUAAUGCAUAGGAAUCUGCCUAGUAGUAUAGGAUAGCCACUAGAAAUGGUGGGUAAUACUGUAUAAUCCCUGCGGGGGAAAGAUUUAUCGCUACUAGAUGAGCCUAUGUCAGAUUAGCUAGUUGGUGGGGUAAUGGCCCACCAAGGCGGUGAUCUGUAGCUGGUCUGAGAGGAUGAUCAGCCACACUGGAACUGAGACACGGUCCAGACUCCUACGGGAGGCAGCAGUGGGGAAUAUUGGACAAUGGGCGCAAGCCUGAUCCAGCUAUGCCGCGUGAGUGAGGAAGGCCUUAGGGUUGUAAAACUCUUUCAGUAGGGAAGAUAAUGACGGUACCUACAGAAAAAGUCCCGGCAAACUC
rnacentral:rRNA from 1 species